GAUGAACGCUGGCGGCGUGCCUAAUACAUGCAAGUCGAACGCACAGCGAAAGGUGCUUGCACCUUUCAAGUGAGUGGCGAACGGGUGAGUAACACGUGGACAACCUGCCUCAAGGCUGGGGAUCACAUUUGGAAACAGAUGCUAAUACCGAAUAAAACUCAGUGUCGCAUGACACAAAGUUAAAAGGCGCUUUGGCGUCACCUAGAGAUGGAUCCGCGGUGCAUUAGUUAGUUGGUGGGGUAAAGGCCUACCAAGACAAUGAUGCAUAGCCGAGUUGAGAGACUGAUCGGCCACAUUGGGACUGAGACACGGCCCAAACUCCUACGGGAGGCUGCAGUAGAGAAUCUUCCACAAUGGGCGAAAGCCUGAUGGAGCAACGCCGCGUGUGUGAUGAAGGCUUUCGGGUCGUAAAGCACUGUUGUAUGGGAAGAACAGCUAGAAUAGGGAAUGAUUUUAGUUUGACGGUACCAUACCAGAAAGGGACGGCUAAAUACGUGCCAGCCGCCGCAGUAA
rnacentral:rRNA from 1 species